rnacentral:rRNA from 1 species
AACAAACGCUGGCGGCGUGCCUAAUACAUGCAAGUCGAACGAGGAAAGCUUUCGGGUGAGUACUAGUGGCGCACGGGUGAGGAAUAUAUGGGUAAUCUGCCCUCGAGUUUGGGAUAACCAGUCGAAAGAUUGGCUAAUACCGGAUAAGACCACAGGAUCUGCGGAUCUAGGGGUUAAAGGUUUUUCGCUUGAGGAUGAGCCCAUAUGGGAUUAGCUAGUUGGUAGGGUAACGGCCUACCAAGGCUACGAUCCCUAACUGGUCUUAGAGGAUGGUCAGUCACACUGGAACUGAGACACGGUCCAGAGUCCUACGGGAGGCAGCAGUAGGGAAUAUUGCACAAUGGGGGAAACCCUGAUGCAGCGACGCCGCGUGAGUGAUGAAGGCCUUCGGGUCGUAAAGCUCUGUCGUAUGGGACUAACAAAAUGAAGGUACCAUGCAAGAAAGGAUCGGCUAACUUCGUGCCAGCCGCCGCCGUAACAC